CGGGGGAGGCCGGAUCUCGGGCUGUGUCCCCGGCGCCCAGUGCUCCCGGGCCUGCGCUGUUGGAUUCGCGCUCCCAGCUGCUCAGCCCCCU
rnacentral:pre_miRNA from 1 species